rnacentral:rRNA from 1 species
GAUGAACGCUGGCGGUAUGCUUAACACAUGCAAGUCGAACGGUCACUUCGGUGAUAGUGGCGGACGGGUGAGUAACGCGUGAGAAUCUGUCCUCAGGUCGGGGACAACAGUUAGAAAUGACUGCUAAUACCGGAUGUGCCUUUGGGUGAAAGAUUUAUUGCCUGAAAAAGAGCUCGCGUCAGAUUAGCUAGUAGGUGGUGUAAGAGACUACCUAGGCUCCGAUCUGUAGCUGGUCUGAGAGGACGAUCAGCCACACUGGAACUGAGACACGGUCCAGACUCCUACGGGAGGGAGCAGUGGGGGAUUUUCCGCAGUGGGCGGAAGCCUGACGGAGCAAUGCCGCGUGAGGGACGAAGGCUUUUGGGUAGUAAACCUCUUUUCUCAAGGAAGAUGAUGACGGUACUUGAGGAAUAAGCAUCGGCUAACUCUGUG